UACGUACGAGGCGAGCGUUAUCCGGAAUUACUGGGCGUAAAGCGUGCGCAGGCGGCUUCCCAAGUCAGUGGUGAAAGCCCGGAGCUCAACUCCGGAAAUGCCAUUGAAACUGUGAAGCUUGAGAACGAGAGAGGUGAGUGGAAUUCCCAGUGUAGAGGUGAAAUUCGUAGAUAUUGGGAAGAACACCAGUGGCGAAGGCGGCUCACUGGCUCGUAACUGACGCUCAUGCACGACAGCGUGGGGAUCAAACAGG
rnacentral:rRNA from 1 species